rnacentral:tRNA from 1 species
GGCGGCGUAGCUCAGUUGGCUAGAGCAUACGGUUCAUACCCGUAGCGUCGUGGGUUCGAUCCCCUCCGCCGCUACCA